rnacentral:snoRNA from 1 species
GGCUCCCUGGUGUUUACCACAGGCUGUGUUCUUACACUGACUAUAUAGAAAGACGAAACAAAGUAACCCUAACCUAUAUACACCUCAGUCCAGGCCCUGCGCUGGUCUGUGUCGUGAAUGGGGAAAUAGAG